CCUACGGGGAGCAGCAGUAGGGAAUCUUUCACAAUGGGCGAAAGCCUGAUGGAGCAACGCCGCGUGCAGGAUGAAGGCCUUCGGGUUGUAAACUGCUUUUAUAAGCGAGAAAUAUGAUGGUAACUUAUGAAUAAGGAUCGGCUAACUACGUGCCAGCAGCCGCGGUCAUACGUAGGAUCCGAGCAUUAUCCGGAGUGACUGGGUGUAAAGAGUUGCGUAGGUGGCAUAAUAAGUAGCUAGUGAAAUCUGGUGGCUAAACCAUUCAGACUAUUAGCUAAACUGUUAAGCUCGAGACCGUUAGGGGGAACUGGAAUUUCUAGUGUAGGAGUGAAAUCCGUAGAUAUUAGAAGGAACACCAAUAGCGUAGGCAGGUUGCUGGGACGGUUCUGACACUAAGGCACGAAAGCGUAGGGAGCAAACGGGAUUAGAUACCCGAGUAGUC
rnacentral:rRNA from 1 species